rnacentral:lncRNA from 1 species
CCCACUGGGAUUGGAGGAUGGGGGCGAAGCAAACACUUGGAUUAGAAAUGCACGCGGCCAGAGGGAAGUGUUCAAGAGAAGCCAGGGAACUGGGAUGCAGGCAGUGACCAGCCUUGUUGAACCUUCAAGGCUGGCAAGUGUGGGAAGAAGAGGCCGUCAGAACCCGGACUAGUGACCAGGGCAAGGGAGGAGCUAUGGGAAGCUGUUGGGUCACCCCAGGAGCCAGCGCUUGGACCAAGAUCAUGUUCAGUCCCCAGAGAGAAGCCAGGAACUUGGAGAAGGUUUAUAGGCUGAGCGACUUCCCCUUGGA